rnacentral:rRNA from 1 species
GGUGUACCAGUUGUUCCGCCAGGAGCAUAGCUGGGUAGCUACGUAUGGAAGGGAUAAGUGCUGAAAGCAUCUAAGCAUGAAGCCCCCCUCAAGAUGAGAUUUCCCUUGGAGUUAAUCCAGUAAGACCCCUUAGAGAUGAUGAGGUUGAUAGGUCUCGGGUGGAAGCACGGUGACGUGUGGAGCUGAGAGAUACUAAUCGGUCGAGGACUUAUCCUAAA